rnacentral:lncRNA from 1 species
UGCAGAUAUUCUUCAUUAUUCCAUCAUCAUCUCAAACCUCUUGGGUAUAGUGUUUGACUACUACUGUGACCAUAAAUUCCAAUAAAACCUAGGAAAAAUGAAACCACUACAUUAACUGAAAGGGAAGGAUUUGACAGCUUCUUUUGGGCAUAUCAGAAUCGCCAGCAUCACUACUCUUGCACUGUGCGGCCAUUAUUAAGUGAAAUAAGGAUUACUUGAACACAAGCACUGCAAUGCCGCUACAGUCAAUGUGAUAACCCAGCUGGUGACUAAGUGACCAAGGACGGGGAGUAUCUACAGCGGGGAGACUCUGGAAAAAGGGAGGAUUCACAUCCAGUGCCACUGGGGCAGGGCAGAAUGAGAGUUCAUCAUGCUACAAAGAAUGGCACAGAAU